rnacentral:rRNA from 1 species
GCAAGUCGACUGGAAUUCUUCUUCGGAAGAUAGUACGGUGGCGGACGGGUGAGUAACGCGUAAAGAAUUUGCCCUUCAGACUGGGACAACUAACCGAAAGGUUAGCUAAUACCGGAUAUUAUGAGACCUUGGCAUCAAGGACUUAUGAAAGCUAUAUGCGCUGAAGGAGAACUUUGCGUCCCAUUAGGUAGUUGGUAGGGUAAUGGCCUACCAAGCCGACGAUGGAUAGGGGUUCUGAGAGGAAGAUC